rnacentral:lncRNA from 1 species
CUUAUUUUUAAAAUAUUGUACUGAUAAAAUCAGAAUUUGGUAAUGUGUUAUAUUGAUAUGAUAUUCUUCACAAUUUAUUUUGCUAUAAUUAUAUGAUGAUGGGCCAUUACAGAGUAAUUUAAAAUAACACAAAGGAUUCCGCUGACUGAGACACACACUCACUAGUUUUGCACCUCUUGCUUUAAUUGCCAAAAGAGGGUGCUAUUAAGUAUUUCAAGGUGAAUCUUAGAUGAAGUAGUGUAAUUUUUUUAAAUAUAUAGUACCUGUACUUCCAAGAUAAAAAGGAAAAGCAUGUUAAAGUCGUGCAUUUUUACUUAAUGCUUGACAUGGAUAUAAUUAUCUUUUUCCAUACAAAAUCCUUAUGAGCAAAGGCUGGAAUUAUAGAGGGAAAAAUGGUAGAAAAAAUGAAAAUUGUAUGUUCUGAUUAAUAGGCAUCUUUUACAAACCUACCAUAUGCAGGAGGAAUGACCCACUUAUGGAGCAUACAUGUUAUGGUCCUGAAGAAUUUUAUAGUUUGUGCGAGGGAAAAAAUACACAUAAAACAAAUAAAAAGUAAAGUAAUGACAGAAAAUUUAGCCACCAUGCCACCUGUUUCUGAUUCUCAGGAAGCUUUGAAGAAAACCAUGACCAAGUCAAGAGUGCGAGAACAGUGCUUACAGCAGGAGAGAAAAUGAAGUGGAUGUUUUGACAAUGGACAGCCCCACCAAAGACAUCACACAUGUACUUGGACUGUUUCAUCACCAACCUGAAUAUUAUCAUAAUAAGGAGUAAAAAUAAUCAAAAGUUCUCAUAGCAUUUGGGUAAGUAACAUGUGUCCUAUAGAAAAAUGCAUUCUGUGUUUUAAAAAAUAGCUUAAAAUAUGGGGGCCAACAUUGUGGUGUAGUGGGUAAGCCCCAGCCUGUGAUGCCAAUAUCCCAUAUGGGCACCAGUUCAAGUCCUGGUUGCUCCACUUCUGAUCCAGCACCCUGAUAAUGACCUAGGAAAGCAGGGGAAGGGGGUCUAAGUGUUUGAGCCCCUGGACCUACAUGGGAGACCCAGACAGAGCUCCUGGCUCCCAGAUUCGGCUUGGCUUAGUCCCAGCCGUUGUAGCCAUCUGGGACGUGAACCAGUGGAUGGAAGAUCGGGGAUGGGGGGGGAUUAUGUGUCUCCCUCAGUCUCUUAUUCUGACUUCAAAUAAAUAAAUAAAUCUUAAAAUAAAAAGCUUAGGA